GACAGCCUCAGCGAACUUGUUUGGCCCUUGUUUCCAUUACAAAUAUAUAAUAGAUAACAUCCUUUUUAACAGCUGCACAGUCUAGUACUCCCACAGCAUCCAAGCAUAUCCUUACAAGGUCCAUUUAUGAUCACUAGUAAGCUUUACCACUGCAGAAUUCCAGUGUUUUGAGUUCCACAUAGUAUGAUGUUCUUCAUAGAAGGGUGGAAUUGUUGUGAAUUACCAGGCAUAAGAUCAUUUCUUUCUGGUUUUACUUUUUCAGUUCCUAACUGUGCAUAACUACGACACCCACAUUGCUCAGCACCUAGCAGGGAUGGAGCAGAGCCUCAGCGUCAUGGAUAAGUUGCACAAGAAGAAUGUGAAAAACCACCAGAAAAAAGUCAGAGAGCUGAAGAAGUGCAUCCGUCUGAAAGAGCAGGAGAACUACGAACUCGGCCUGCAGCUGAAGGAAAUGCUUGUCUCUGUGUCAGAAAGGAUGCACAUCUUCGAGGCAGCUGACACACGGGAUAUUUCUGAAAAGAUCACAAGGCAGCGUUACCGAGAGAUUGUGAAGCAGAAAUAUCUACGGAACCUUAUAAGGGAACAGGAAAAACAGCUUGCAGUUCUUCAGUCAGAACUUGAAAGUUGGAAUCCAAGAACACUCCAUAUUAUUUAAAAAUCAGAGAUUAAUAAUAGAUUAAUAAUAACAUGGUCUUAUCUAAGGGAAAAGAGUUUUGACAGCUGAUUCUUCUCCCUGAACUUUUCUUUCCACAAAUUGUUUCUUCUGUAAUUCCUUUAAAUAACUUCCAUUUGAAAGAUGCAUAGUUGUCUGAUUUGUAUUUUUUACACCUGAUCUUAACCCCGUUAUAUUUCAGUUGAUGAGAUUUAUUUCUACUGGUUUUAUUAUAUAAACCAUAUAGCUCAUUAUAGAAAACAGCCAUGUAUGCAAGCUGGCCCCAUCCCAAAGACAGCUGUGCCUUAUUGUGGUAUAAUCACCCACAGCCAGCAGGAACUGUGGCUGCUGCCAUGGGCAGAAUCACAGGAAAACCAGGUUUGGAAGCAUCUGGCCUCCUGAAAUAGUUGCUGGCAUCUUCCAC
rnacentral:lncRNA from 1 species